UAUUGGACAAUGGGGGGAACCCUGAUCCAGCGACGCCGCGUGAGUGAAGAAGUAUUUCGGUAUGUAAAGCUCUAUCAGCAGGGAAGAAAGAAAUGACGGUACCUGACUAAGAAGCCCCGGCUAACUACGUGCCAGCAGCCGCGGUAAUACGUAUGGAGCAAGCGUUAUCCGGAUUUACUGGGUGUAAAGGGAGAGUAGGUGGCAGAGCAAGUCCGAAGUGAAAACCCAAAGCUCAACUAUGGGAAUGCUUUAGAAACUGCUCAGCUAGAGUGCAGGAGAGGCAAGUGGAAUUCUUAGUGUAGCGGUGAAAUGCGUAGAUAUUAGGAGGAACACCAGUGGCGAAGGCGGCUUGCUGGACUGUAACUGACACUGAGGCUCGAAAGCGUGGGGAGCAAACAG
rnacentral:rRNA from 1 species